GAGUUAUUAUCAGUAGAACACACACUGAACAUUACACACAGCAGAAACCAAAGCUGCAGAUCUGAAAUCUGUGGAAAGACACUAAACGUCCUGUAGAACAAAAGCAGCUCAUGUGUCCAAUGUGAGCAUAAUGUCAGUGUUUUCAGUACUAGAGGAGAAAUUGUGCACUGAACAGCUCAUUUUAAAGCUCUUCAUGUGUGUGUUAGAUGAUCCAGGAGAACACAGAACACCUGAGCAUCUUUAUAUUAGUGUUUCAUCACACACUUGGAGAUUCCCUCUGCCAUCUUUAAAUGGAAAUCAUUUUCAUGACACGAGUUUGCAGUAGAGCUGGAAAUCAGAAAGUCUUUACCCCAGACAGCAGGAACAGUGUAGCACUAAUGAUCUUCUUGCUGAUUUCUACACUUUAUUACCUUUAAAAUACAAUUUCACUGCUUUUCACUGCUUAUGAAAAUAUGAUCUUCUCUAUUAUACAGUAAUCACACUAGUUAUAGUAUCAGUAAUGUGAAAGAUUGCAGAGAUGAUUCUUAGUGAUUAGUACUGAUCCUGAUCUACACGUGAUCCUGAUCUACACGUGAUCCUGAUCUACACGUGAUGCUGAUCUACACGUGUUCCUGAUCUACACGUGAUCCUGAUCUACACGUGUUCCUGAUCUACACGUGAUCCUGAUCUACACUUACACAGUAAAUCACUUUAGUAGCAGUGAGAGAGGAAACACAAAGAGCUCUGAUUGGACCAGGAUGAUUCAAUAUUAUUUUCCUCUUACAGAAAAACCUCCUGAGGAGAAAUCAGAUGAAGUGUCGAGUCCCACAGAUGAUGCACAGAUAAAGUUUCCUCACCCGCUGAUCCUGGUCUUGUCCCUGCUAGCCUGUGUUCUCUUCCAGUCUUUCUUAAGAGAACCAUGAGUGUGAUAUGGUGCAGUGCUUAGCAUUGUGCGUUUACAUGUGUUCAUUACUUCCUUUCAUCUUUUAUUUAAUAUCCCAAUUAAUAGAUGAAGAACUUGGUGUGGUGAAGUAGCUUGUGUAACAUCAGAUUAAUAUAUGAUCAUGAUGUGCAGCUGAACUACAAUCAGAGCUGCUGUUAUAAAGAACAUUUUAUAUAAUCAGCAUCUUUUUGUCCAAUUCAAUUACAUUUUAUGUGUAGAGCACUUUUAACAAGAAACAUUAACACAAAGCAGAAAUAAAUUAUGUCAGAAUUCAAAAGAAUGCAGACUUCAAAUUCCUUUCAAAGAGGAAUACCAAUGUUGAUAUUUAAUUAAAUAUAUAACAAAAACUAGCAUCUAUUUUUAAGGUAAGAAUUUAAUAAAUUCUAAAAACAGUAAAAAACAGUAAAUUGGCACCUUUACAGUAGACAAGCCUGUGUGUAGUAUUGCACUUGUAAAAAAUGUUAGCUAAUAGGAAAAAAAGAGAAUAUUUACUUAUAGGUGAAUAAAAUAAAUAAACUCAAAUUAAUUAAGUUUAUUUUUGCCAAACAUGUAAAAGCAUAAUUCUACUCUUAAGCCCUAUUCGGACAGGAUUAAAAUCACAAAGUACGUCUCAAAGUAUGUGCACAGACGUGGGAACAGAAAGGUGCAAUUAAGGCAUGUAAAAGGAUUGUUUAUGCUUAGCAGUAAUAGAGCUGAAAACAUCUUUAAAUAAGCAACACAUAUGUACAGUAUUUAUAAGAAUACAGGCUAAAUGUUUUUAUAUAUUUAUUAUAACAUUUUAACAAAUGACAAAAUUGAGGCCUAGAGAUGAAGUUUGAGGGAUGGUAGUGUUGUACCCAGUGACAGUUCACAGUAGGUGGAGCAGGCAGGAGCCAUAUGUGUUUUUAUAGGGCAUGUUUUAACAUUUAUUUUAUUAUAUAUUUUAUUAUUUUAACCUCAUAUUAUCUUUCAGUUCAUUUUCACUGUUAUUUUUUACUCUGCCACCUAUACAAAGUAAGCUAUUAAAAUAAUUUCCACCUAAA